rnacentral:rRNA from 1 species
GUCUUUUUGAGUUAUUUUUAAAGUNUGACCUGCCCACUGAAUUUAUUUUAAAUGGCCGCAGUAUUCUAACUGUGCAAAGGUAGCAUAAUCAUUAGUCUUUUAAUUGAAGGCUGGUAUGAACGGUUGGACGAGGUAUAAGCUGUUUCAUAUAAAUUUAUAAUAGAAUUUUAUAUUUUAGUCAAAAAGCUAAAAUGUAAUUAAAAGACGAGAAGACCCUAUAAAUCUUUAUAAUUUAUAUAAUUUAAAUUUUUUGGAUUUGUUUUAUUUUUAUUGUAUAAAUUAUUUUGUUGGGGUGAUGUUAAAAUUUAAUGAACUUUUAAUUGAAUUUAAAUCAUUAAUUUAUGAAUUAUUGAUCCAUUAGUAGUGAUUAUAAGAUUAAGUUACUUUAGGGAUAACAGCGUAAUUUUUUUGGAGAGUUCAUAUCGAUAAAAAAGUUUGCGACCUCGAUGUUGGAUUAAGAUAUAAUUUUAGGUGUAGCCGCUUAAAUGUUAAGUC